CAAGUUUGUCUCUUCCACUCAGUAGUUAGCUGAUAUUUUCACCAAAGUCUUGGGCAAAGAUGCAUUCCAUUUCAAUAUUAGUAAGUUGGGCAUUAUAAACCUCCAAAUGCCAACUUGAAGGGGAGUGAUGGAAAUCAUACCUUGAUUCUCUCAGCAUUAGAUUAGGCAGAUAUGGAUAUCUAUGAUGAAGAUCAUACCUUAGUUCUCUAGAUAUCAUAUUAGAUAGAUACAAAUAGCUAUAUAAUCCCAGGUG
rnacentral:lncRNA from 1 species